rnacentral:lncRNA from 1 species
UAAAUGAUAACAUGUAAAAUAUGUCAGACAGAGUAACGGUGAUAAUUUCAAUGAAGAUUAGUAUAACAGAAACUCAGUUGAUCUUUGACAGUAUGCAGAUUAUGGAUCUUGUAGGUAAACGUGUUACUGACCUUUGACAGUAUGCAGAUUGUGGAUCUUGUAUGUAAACUUGUUACUGAUCUUUGACAAUAUGCAGAUUAUGGAUCUUGUAGGUAAAACUUGUUAAUGAUCUUUGACAGUAUGCAGAUUAUGGAUCUUGUAUGUAAACUUGUUACUGAUCUUUGACAGUAUGCAGAAAAUGGAUGUUGUAGGUAAACGUGUUACUAUCUUUGACAGUAUGCAGAUUAUGGAUGUUGUAGGUAAACGUGUUACUGAUCUUUGACAGUAUGCAGAUUAUGGAUGUUGUAGGUAAACGUGUUACUAUCUUUGACAGUAUGCAGAUUAUGGAUGUUGUAGGUAAACGUGUUACUGAUCUUUGACAGUAUGCAGAUUAUGGAUGUUGUAGGUAAACGUGUUACUGAUCUUUGACAGUAUGCAGAUUAUGGAUGUUGUAGGUAAACUUGUUACACACAACUUUUUAAUCACUAAACUAAUUUCAGAUUUAUUAUGUACUGGCAACUGCACAAAAUAUUUCCAUGUUUGAUAUAACAGUUUGUUGAACAACAACCUCUUCCUUUAAAGUUUAUGUAAACAUGCUCCAUU